CAUCAGAAACUCACCUAAAACUCCUUUUCUCUGAAUCGCUUUUCCUUCUUCAACCUUCAACCAAAAUCACUUUUCUCCAUGAAACACUUUUUCUUCACCGCAUAAUCACUUUUUCUCUGAACAAAUCAUUGUUUCUCUGUCAUCAAAACCGCUGCUUCUCCUUCAACAAUCCAAAUCACUGCUUCUCAGUCAUCGAUUGAUAUUGCUUCUCUGUCAUCGCGGCUUCUCUUCAUCAAUCCAAAAUCGCUGCUUCUCUUCAUCAAUCCAAAAUCGCUACUUCUCCUUCAUAGAUUGAAAUUGCUCAUGAAUUUCUCAAAACCUACUACUUGGGAUCUUUGUUGCAGAAUCUCUUUUCGAUCUUCGCUACAACGGUGCAUUUUCUCUGAUCGACACUAUUGAUAUUCCUUUUUACGCAUUUUAAGGCAUUGUUAGGCAAACCAUUGAGGAUAAAUUUUGCUCUCGAGAAAGCCCGUGGUGUACCUGUUGUAGUUCCUCGGUUUUCAGAUAUUCGAAACUUCUACAGGCACUGAUUUGAAUCGACCUUAUGAAAUUUAGAGCAAACAAGCAGACGGUAUAUUCUUGCUCUGACAAAUGAAACUCAGUGGGAGGUGAUUGGAAAGGUACAGUGCCUUAUUCAUAUUUUGAAUUUUCCAUCGUUGAUGGAAACUUCCUAGAAUGGAUGGGAUAAAGGGAAAGUGUAAUAUAUUUGCCAUCCCUUCUACAGCUGCAACAUUGCAUUGAUUGGCUAUUUGACUGAGGCAAGAGAGUUUUUGCAAUAAGAGGAACUUAGAGAUCUGAUCUCAGGUGCGUAUUUUCUGCGAUCGAAAGUAUCAACAUUCAUUUUUACUAAUUCUAAGGUACGGUUGAUGUUAACUUUAUCAUACAUACAUAUUGCAAUAGCUUAAUUCAACUAUUUCAAUGUAUUGAUGUUUGUGGUGUGUCUAAUAUCCAGAACCAUUAUUCCAAUUUCCAUAAUGACUUCAAAUCUGAAAUAGAACAUCUAACAGUAUGUCAAAUCAAUUAAGCUUACAAGCUCAAGGCUCUGGAUGACACCUUAACAUUGAUUUGAAUCUCUAGUAGCCUCUAACAUCAAUAAGCUGAAUUAUCAUUCAUGUACAAACCGUAAGGAUAUGCUGGCAAAAUGUCCAAUGUAGAAUCAUUGACAGACACUUCUCCUAUUCUUCAGAUUCUCUCCUUAGUUCCUGAUUUAUUGGAGGUAAAGCUCUUUUUUUUAUGUAAGUUGAAGUCAUUGGAAGUUAACAUCACAACAGAUUUCCCGACUUGUUUUAAUCUGAAGCAGGUUGAGGAAUCUAUAAAGGGUGCAAAGAUUAUCAAAUACCGUUCGCAAUUCUCCGCUCCUGCCUCCCCCUCUGCCGCACCUGCUUCUGAUGCUGCUCCUUCUUCUGUCGCUGAGCCUGCCACAGCUGCACCUCCCAAUCUUCAUCUGUCUCCCUAGAAAGGAUGAUAAAUCAUCCAAUAAAGAUGAGGAGGAGAAGAACCAACAUAACACUAAGUCUCCACUUCAAGAUAAUGGGCAGUGAAGAGUUCUCAUAUUUCCUACAGGUUAUAAUGCCUUCUUUGUGAACCUUUGUUGUACGAUGUUAGAUAAGUGACUGAUAAUAUCAGUUUGAUCGACUUUACUGAAAUCUGUUGUUUGAUUUGAAAAGCAGUUGGUACAUGACUCUUUAUUCGAGGUCCAUGAGAUUCAUCAAGCUGUUAGUUUCUAGUUUUGAAGCCAUAUUGUAAUAUAGGUUUUUAGCAACCAUCUUGGAGUAGGUUUUGGAUACUAAGUUGUAGUGUACAAAUCAUAUUCUCUGCCACUUAUAUGUGUGUCUAUCCCUGUAUGAUCAAGUUUGUUUGGUUUUUGGCAGCCUUCAUGAAUCAUUUAGUUGCUAAUUGACAA